UCCCUGGUGGCUCAGACGGUAAAGCGUCCGUCUGCAAUGCGGGAGACCCGGGUUCUAUCCCUGGGUCGAGAA
rfam:Ovis aries breed Texel Tnplaced_Contig2719_fixed, whole genome shotgun sequence.